rnacentral:rRNA from 1 species
GGCGACGAUCGGUAGCUGGUCUGAGAGGAUGAGCAGCCACACUGGAACUGAGACACGGUCCAGACUCCUACGGGAGGCAGCAGUGGGGAAUUUUCCGCAAUGGGCGAAAGCCUGACGGAGCAACGCCGCGUGGGGGAAGAAGGUUCUUGGAUUGUAAACCCCUUUUCUCAGGGAAGAAGUUCUGACGGUACCUGAGGAAUCAGCCUCGGCUAACUCCGUGCCAGCAGCCGCGGUAAUACGGAGGAGGCAAGCGUUAUCCGGAAUCAUUGGGCGUAAAGCGUUCGUAGGCGGCUGUUCAAGUCUGCUGUCAAAGACCGAGGCUCAACCUCGGGUCGGCAGUGGAAACUGGAUAGCUAGAGGUCGGUAGGGGCAAAGGGAAUUCCCAGUGUAGCGGUGAAAUGCGUAGAUAUUGGGGAAGAACACCGGUGGCGAAAGCGCUUUGCUGGACCGAACCUGACGCUGAGGGACGAAAGCUAGGGGAGCGAAUGGGAUUAGAUACCCCA